GCCAGUGUGGUGUAGUGGUUUGAGUUUUGGACUAUAACUCUCGAUGCCAGGGUUCAAAUCCCUGCUUGGCCA